UGAGGAAUAUUGGUCAAUGGACGCAAGUCUGAACCAGCCAAGUAGCGUGCAGGAUGACGGCCCUAUGGGUUGUAAACUGCUUUUAUAUGGGAAUAAAGUGAGGGACGUGUCCCUUAUUGCAUGUACCAUACGAAUAAGGACCGGCUAAUUCCGUGCCAGCAGCCGCGGUAAUACGGAAGGUCCAGGCGUUAUCCGGAUUUAUUGGGUUUAAAGGGAGCGUAGGCUGUUUGUUAAGCGUGUUGUGAAAUGUAAGAGCUCAACUUUUAGAUUGCAGCGCGAACUGGCAGACUUGAGUGCGCACAACGUAGGCGGAAUUCAUGGUGUAGCGGUGAAAUGCUUAGAUAUCAUGAAGAACUCCGAUUGCGAAGGCAGCUUACGGGAGCGCAACUGACGCUGAAGCUCGAAGGUGCGGGUAUCGAACAGG
rnacentral:rRNA from 1 species